rnacentral:lncRNA from 1 species
GUUCUCUCUUCCUCUGCUCCGCCAUGAUGAGAAGCGCCUGCUUCCCCUUCCCCUUCCGCCAUGAUUGUGUUUCCUGAGACCUCCCAGCCACGCUUCCUGUACAGCCUGCAGAACUGACCAGAUGCGGAUGCGCUUUACACAGCUGCCAGCUUGAGGAUGGAAGAAAAGCGCAUUUCAUCAUCUGUUAUCCUGUGUUUCUGUGACCAUACUGAGUCCCGUGUGUCUUCUCAUGCUGCUGGCUGUGUGGAUCACCUUGUCUAGCUUGUUCUCACUUAAACUACUGGAUGGGCUCUCUUUUCCCUUUUCACCAUGUUUCUUCGCGACAGAGGCCGUCUUCUGCCCAGUUGCCUCCCACAUUUCCCCAGUCUACGGCUUGGCUUUUGACAUAUGCUUCUUCUCCCCAGGUCAUUAAAGACAGCUUUAAAUAGA